GCAGCUCAGUCGGUUAAGCGCGAGACUCUUGAUCUCUGGGUCAGGGUCAUGGGUUCGAGCCCCAUGUUGGGCA